rnacentral:rRNA from 1 species
GACGAACGCUGGCGGCGUGCUUAACACAUGCAAGUCGAACGGAAAGGCCCUGCUUUUGUGGGGUGCUCGAGUGGCGAACGGGUGAGUAACACGUGAGUAACCUGCCCUUGACUUUGGGAUAACUUCAGGAAACUGGGGCUAAUACCGGAUAGGAGCUCCUGCUGCAUGGUGGGGGUUGGAAAGUUUCGGCGGUUGGGGAUGGACUCGCGGCUUAUCAGCUUGUUGGUGGGGUAGUGGCUUACCAAGGCUUUGACGGGUAGCCGGCCUGAGAGGGUGACCGGCCACAUUGGGACUGAGAUACGGCCCAGACUCCUACGGGAGGCAGCAGUGGGGAAUAUUGCACAAUGGGCGGAAGCCUGAUGCAGCAACGCCGCGUGCGGGAUGACGGCCUUCGGAUUGUAAACCGCUUUCGCCUGUGACGAAGCGUGAGUGACGGUAAUGGGUAAAGAAGCACCGGCUAACUACGUGCCAGCAGCCGCGGUGAUACGUAGGGUGCGAGCGUUGUCCGGAUUUAUUGGGCGUAAAGGGCUCGUAGGUGGUUGAUCGCGUCGGAAGUGUAAUCUUGGGGCUUAACCCUGAGCGUGCUUUCGAUACGGGUUGACUUGAGGAAGGUAGGGGAGAAUGGAAUUCCUGGUGGAGCGGUGGAAUGCGCAGAUAUCAGGAGGAACACCAGUGGCGAAGGCGGUUCUCUGGGCCUUUCCUGACGCUGAGGAGCGAAAGCGUGGGGAGCGAACAGGCUUAGAUACCCUGGUAGUCCACGCUGUAAACGGUGGGUACUAGGUGUGGGGUCCAUUCCACGGGUUCCGUGCCGUAGCUAACGCUUUAAGUACCCCGCCUGGGGAGUACGGCCGCAAGGCUAAAACUCAAAGGAAUUGACGGGGCCCCGCACAAGCGGCGGAGCAUGCGGAUUAAUUCGAUGCAACGCGUAGAACCUUACCUGGGUUUGACAUGGAUCGGGAGCGCUCAGAGAUGGGUGUGCCUCUUUUGGGGUCGGUUCACAGGUGGUGCAUGGCUGUCGUCAGCUCGUGUCGUGAGAUGUUGGGUUAAGUCCCGCAACGAGCGCAACCCUUGUUCACUGUUGCCAGCACGUUAUGGUGGGGACUCAGUGGAGACCGCCGGGGUCAACUCGGAGGAAGGUGGGGAUGACGUCAAGUCAUCAUGCCCCUUAUGUCCAGGGCUUCACGCAUGCUACAAUGGCUGGUACAGAGAGUGGCGAGCCUGUGAGGGUGAGCGAAUCUCGGAAAGCCGGUCUCAGUUCGGAUUGGGGUCUGCAACUCGACCUCAUGAAGUCGGAGUCGCUAGUAAUCGCAGAUCAGCAACGCUGCGGUGAAUACGUUCCCGGG